CGGAUGUAGAGACCGGCGCACGGGUGCGUAACGCGUAUGCAAUCUACCUUUUACAGAGGGAUAGCCCAGAGAAAUUUGGAUUAAUACCUCAUAGUAUAGCAGUUUCGCAUGAAACCACUAUUAAAGUCACAACGGUAAAAGAUGAGCAUGCGUCCCAUUAGCUAGUUGGUAAGGUAACGGCUUACCAAGGCUACGAUGGGUAGGGGUCCUGAGAGGGAGAUCCCCCACACUGGUACUGAGACACGGACCAGACUCCUACGGGAGGCAGCAGUGAGGAAUAUUGGACAAUGGGCGCAAGCCUGAUCCAGCCAUGCCGCGUGCAGGAUGACGGUCCUAUGGAUUGUAAACUGCUUUUAUACGAGAAGAAACAUCCCGACGUGUCGGGACUUGACGGUAUCGUAAGAAUAAGGAUCGGCUAACUCCGUGCCAGCAGCCGCGGUAAUACGGAGGAUCCAAGCGUUAUCCGGAAUCAUUGGGUUUAAAGGGUCCGUAGGCGGUUUAAUAAGUCAGUGGUGAAAGCCCAUCGCUCAACGGUGGAACGGCCAUUGAUACUGUUAGACUUGAAUUAUUAGGAAGUAACUAGAAUAUGUAGUGUAGCGGUGAAAUGCUUAGAGAUUACAUGGAAUACCAAUUGCGAAGGCAGGUUACUACUAAUUGAUUGACGCUGAUGGACGAAAGCGUGGGUAGCGAACAGGAUUAGAUACCCUGGUAGUCCACGCCGUAAACGAUGGAUACUAGCUGUUGGAAGCAAUUUCAGUGGCUAAGCGAAAGUGAUAAGUAUCCCACCUGGGGGAG
rnacentral:rRNA from 1 species